UAUAAGAAGAACUCACCGAAUUCAUUCUUCGAUUCGAAUAGAUACAAACUCUUUUUCUUUACUUCUGAACCGCUCUUCUUCUUUUGAGACCUCCUCAUUCUUCUUCUUCGUUUGCUUCCUCUGGUUGUGCUUCUGGUUUUCGAUCUCUCCGGUUUUUGAUAUGGAACAUUCAAAGCUGGUGAUGCAGAGUGAAAUUUUUUGAUGCAGAAUGGAGAAGCCUCUUGAUUGAAGAUAGGCAACCAUGUACCAAGCCAGGCAUAAUCAAAGCUAUUACAAGUCAACAUGGUGAAGACGAUGGAUGAAGAAAGAUGAAGAUGAACUUUUAGGAUUGUUAGAUGGUGUUGAUUUUGGUCAACUGUUAACCGAAAAGUCAAUAGUUAACUAAAAGUCAACAUUACCAUAAUGUUCAAUUUUUGUAAAUAUGCUUAUGGAUAAUGUAAAUUGAAAUGUAAAUGUAAUAAAUUUGCAUAAAAAGUUGCUUCUUGAA